ensembl:lncRNA
GAAAAUAUGAGUUUUGGAACUUUGCAGAGUUUAUACAUGGACAAACAGAUGCAUUAUAAUCCCAAACAGAAGGAGAACAUUAAAAAUCAUGAUUCCUCUACAACCUUCGGCCCAGUUUUUACACUGCAAAUUACCUUCACCACUGCAGAGACAUUCAAUGCUGACUUAUUAAACACAACUUCAUCUGCCUACACUGAACGUGCAAAUCGUAUCACCAAUAAGUUUGGGACAGUUUUUCAAACCACAUACCCGAACUUCAAUAAUCUGAAAGUAACUGGUUUCAGGUGUGUAUUAAAUUUGCUCAUGCACCAUUUACUGAACAUUUUAGAUAUGAUUGUUUCUUAUCACUGGGAUGAUUAAUAACCUUUUCAACUGUGUUCUUGUCUAUGUAGAUCUGGGUCAACCAUCUCAGAGUUUAAUGC